GACGAACGCUGGCGGCGUGCCUAAUACAUGCAAGUAGAACGCUGAAGGAGGAGCUUGCUUCUCUGGAUGAGUUGCGAACGGGUGAGUAACGCGUAGGUAACCUGCCUGGUAGCGGGGGAUAACUAUUGGAAAUGAUAGCUAAUACCGCAUAACAGUAGAUGUUGCAUGACAUUUGCUUAAAAGGUGCAAUUGCAUCACUACCAGAUGGACCUGCGUUGUAUUAGCUAGUUGGUGGGGUAACGGCUCACCAAGGCGACGAUACAUAGCCGACCUGAGAGGGUGAUCGGCCACACUGGGACUGAGACACGGCCCAGACUCCUACGGGAGGCAGCAGUAGGGAAUCUUCGGCAAUGGACGGAAGUCUGACCGAGCAACGCCGCGUGAGUGAAGAAGGUUUUCGGAUCGUAAAGCUCUGUUGUAAGAGAAGAACGAGUGUGAGAGUGGAAAGUUCACACUGUGACGGUAUCUUACCAGAAAGGGACGGCUAACUACGUGC
rnacentral:rRNA from 1 species